AAGAUGAAGAAAAAUGUCUUGGAUCCCGAUUCCGACAUAUGCCAGAUUCUUGCUCAGGAUCCCAAUUUGGAGGAAGGCUAUAUAGCUCUUACAUUCUCCUUGGGAGUCCAGUUCCUGAAGACAGUGGCUCAGAAAUGCCAAACACCUCCCAUGAAAGAAAUGAUCGAAAUUCCUGCUAAGAAAUUUCUAGGCGACUUACUCCAACUUGUCCUGAAGAAGUCUUAAACAACAGCAAUUGGUCCCAUGACAAACCCAUGGCCUGUGGAAACAUCGUGAACACAGCAGCACUCGGCUCCCCAUCUUGAACCCUUGAGACACAACCUAACUGCAAAGGCGACCCUGUCUGCAAAGAAGAGCUUGGUCUCCUGCUUAAGCACAUAGCCCCUCCCUUCCUCCCUCUCCUCCUUGCUUGGGAAAGGUUGCCAGUCUGGUAAGAGAGGCAUGCUUGCUGGCUGUGAGUUCCUCUCAGGUUCUCUGAAAUAAA